CCCUUAGUUGUUCUGGGCUGCACGCGCGCUACGCUGAAGCGUUCAACGAGUAUUCACCUUGCCCGGGAGGGUUGGGUAAUCUUUUGAAAACGCUUCGUGAUGGGGAUAGAUUAUUGCAAUUAUUAAUCUUGAACGAGGAAUUCCUAGUAAACGCAGAUCAUCAAUCUGCAUUGAUUACGUCCCUGCCCUUUGUACACACCGCCCGUCGCACCUACCGAUUGGAUGAUCCGGUGAAGCCUCGGGAUUGUGGUUCUUGCCGCUUUAUUGUGGCGUGACCGCGAGAACUUGUCUAAACCUUAUCAUCUAGAGGAAGGUGAAGUCGUAACA
rnacentral:rRNA from 1 species